CCUGCAUCAAGGGAGCGUCCAGGCCUCCAACGAAAAAGUUCCAGAGCCCUGGUGAACCCAGAUGUUUUGCUCAGCCCAGGAUUGUAUGUACAAGGUCACCUUUCUCCCAAACAUUAGCAUCACAGUCAGUUCAUAGCAAAAACUGCAGCUCAUCUCUCAAAGCCUAGAAAACAGCUCUACAACGGCUCAGUACAACACAAUGGAUAAAUUGUACAGGAACCGGAAAAAGGCAGCUUCCUUUCCCCUUUUCCUCUCUUCAAGCAGCUGCAAAGAGCACAGCACAUGCACUAGCACCGACUCCUUUCCAUCUGGAAGUGACCGC